rnacentral:rRNA from 1 species
AGUGAACGCUGGCGGUAGGCCUAACACAUGCAAGUCGAACGGCAGCACAGUAAGAGCUUGCUCUUACGGGUGGCGAGUGGCGGACAGGUGAGGAAUACAUCGGAAUCUACUUUUUCGUGGGGGAUAACGUAGGGAAACUUACGCUAAUACCGCAUACGACCUACGGGUGAAAGCAGGGGAUCUUCGGACCUUGCGCGAUUGAAUGGGCCGAUGUCGGAUUAGCUAGUUGGCGGGGUAAAGGCCCACCAAGGCGACGAUCCGUAGCUGGUCUGAGAGGAUGAUCAGCCACACUGGAACUGAGACACGGUCCAGACUCCUACGGGAGGCAGCAGUGGGGAAUAUUGGACAAUGGGCGCAAGCCUGAUCCAGCCAUACCGCGUGGGUGAAGAAGGCCUUCGGGUUGUAAAGCCCUUUUGUUGGGAAAGAAAAGCAGCAGGUUAAUACCCCGCUGUUCUGACGGUACCCAAAGAAUAAGCACCGGCUAACUUCGUG